GCUCAGAUUGAACGCUGGCGGCAGGCCUAACACAUGCAAGUCGAGCGGCAGCGACAUAAACAAUCCUUCGGGUGCGUUUAUGGGCGGCGAGCGGCGGACGGGUGAGUAAUGCCUGGGAAUAUGCCCUGAUGUGGGGGAUAACCAUUGGAAACGAUGGCUAAUACCGCAUAAUCUCUUCGGAGCAAAGAGGGGGACCUUCGGGCCUCUCGCGUCAGGAUUAGCCCAGGUGAGAUUAGCUAGUUGGUGAGGUAAGAGCUCACCAAGGCGACGAUCUCUAGCUGGUCUGAGAGGAUGAUCAGCCACACUGGAACUGAGACACGGUCCAGACUCCUACGGGAGGCAGCAGUGGGGAAUAUUGCACAAUGGGGGAAACCCUGAUGCAGCCAUGCCGCGUGUGUGAAGAAGGCCUUCGGGUUGUAAAGCACUUUCAGUCGUGAGGAAGGCAUAUGCGUUAAUAG
rnacentral:rRNA from 1 species